rnacentral:rRNA from 1 species
UACCUGCAGCUCGAGUGGUAACCGCUAUUAUUGGGCCUAAAGCGUCCGUAGCCGGUUUGGUAAAUAUCUGGGUAAAUCGUGAGGCUUAACUUCACGAAUUUCGGAUAGACUGCCAGACUUGGGAUCGGGGGAGGUCAGAGGUACUCCAGGGGUAGCGGUGAAAUGUUGUAAUCCUUGGAGGACCACCGGUAGCGAAGGCGUCUGACUAGAACGAGUCCGACGGCGAGGGACGAAGCCCUGGGGCGCAAACCGGAUUAGAUACCCGGGUAGUCCAGGGUGUAAACGAUGUGGGCUUUGUAUUGGAGGUCCCACGUGGGCGUCCAGUGCAGAAGAGAAGUUGUUAAGCCCACCGCCUGGGAAGUACGGUCGCAAGGCUGAAACUUAAAGGAAUUGGCGGGGGAGCACAGCAACGGGAGGAGCGUGCGGUUU